rnacentral:rRNA from 1 species
UACGAAGGGUGCAAGCGUUAAUCGGAAUUACUGGGCGUAAGGCGCGCGUAGGUGGUUCAGCAAGUUGGAUGUGAAAGCCCUGGGCUCAACCUGGGAACUGCAUCCAAAACUACUGAGCUAGAGUACGGUAGAGGGUAGUGGAAUUUCCUGUGUAGCGGUGAAAUGCGUAGAUAUAGGAAGGAACACCAGUGGCGAAGGCGACUACCUGGACUGAUACUGACACUGAGGUGCGAAAGCGUGGGGAGCAAACCGAGUAGUAG